rnacentral:rRNA from 1 species
GGUUUUCGGAUCUAGAGACCGGCGCACGGGUGCGUAACGCGUAUGCAAUCUACCUUUUACAGAGGGAUAGCCCAGAGAAAUUUGGAUUAAUACCUCAUAGUAUAGUACAACCGCAUGGUUGAACUAUUAAAGUCACAACGGUAAAAGAUGAGCAUGCGUCCCAUUAGCUAGUUGGUAAGGUAACGGCUUACCAAGGCAACGAUGGGUAGGGGUCCUGAGAGGGAGAUCCCCCACACUGGUACUGAGACACGGACCAGACUCCUACGGGAGGCAGCAGUGAGGAAUAUUGGUCAAUAGGCGCAAGCCUGAACCAGCCAUGCCGCGUGCAGGAUGAAGCAUCUAUGGUGUGUAAACUGCUUUUGUACGAGAAGAAACACUCCUACGUGUAGGAGCUUGACGGUAUCGUAAGAAUAAGGACCGGCUAACUCCGUGCCAGCAGCCGCGGUAAUACGGAGGGUCCAAGCGUUAUCCGGAAUCAUUGGGUUUAAAGGGUCCGUAGGCGGUUUUGUAAGUCAGUGGUGAAAGCCCAUCGCUCAACGGUGGAACGGCCAUUGAUACUGCAAGACUUGAAUUAUUGGGAAGUAACUAGAAUAUGUAGUGUAGCGGUGAAAUGCUUAGAGAUUACAUGGAAUACCAAUUGCGAAGGCAGGUUACUACCAAUAUAUUGACGCUGAUGGACGAAAGCGUGGGGAGCGAACAGGAUUAGAUACCCUGGUAGUCCACGCCGUANACGAUGGAUACUAGCUGUUCGGAGCAAUCUGAGUGGCUAAGCGAAAGUGAUAAGUAUCCCACCUGGGGAGUACGUUCGCAAGAAUGAAACUCAA